rnacentral:tRNA from 1 species
GAAAUAUGAUAACCAAACAUAAGCUUCUAACUUAAUGUUUAAGCGAUGAAAUUUCGUUUAUAUUUCU